CGUGUAGGCGGGAUUGCAAGUCAGAUGUGAAAUUCCGGGGCUUAACCUCGGCGCUGCAUCUGAAACUGUGAUUCUUGAGUGCUGGAGAGGAUAGUGGUAUUCCUAGUGUAGCGGUGAAAUGCGUAGAUAUUAGGAGGAACACCAGUGGCGAAGGCGACUAUCUGGACAGUAACUGACGCUGAGGCGCGAAAGCGUGGGGAGCAAACA
rnacentral:rRNA from 1 species